UCCCCCGCAUCCUUCUUCUAGCCCCCAAACCAGGAAACUUAGAUGAGAUGCGAUCUCCAGUCUAAACCAGGACGCUGCUGGGUGGACAGGGGAGAAAUCAGGAUGGAGAAAUUUUCAAGAUUAUGAAUUUUCCUCUCAAUUUGAGACAGGGGAAAGUCGGUUGUUGCGUGAUUGGAAAACUAUUUCCUAGUCAGCUGUGGUCAGAAGUAGGAUCAGCUGUAAAAGGUAAGGCCACAAAUCCUGCAAAGACUAAUACGUUUCAUGAACCAUGAGUGGCCCUGCUGAUUUCAGUGAUUCUUGUGCGUCAACUUAAGCAGACGUCUGUUUUUGUGUCGAAGUCUCCGGAUUCCCUGGACUUAAUCCACGAGAGCACCACCGCUUGGAUUUGUUAUCUGAUAACCUCACUUCAGGAGCUCCAUUACCGCACGUUAGGCCAACGGAUGACUAAGCUUCAAGUUGUUGUUGUGGAGAAGGAAACUUCUUUCUCCUUCUGGGGAGAUAUUUUACAUUAAAAAAAAAUACAACUCAAAGUUUAAAUCUUUUCAAUGUAGACUGAAAAUUGUGCAUGCCUAAAUUUGUGAAGAACCUUGACGGUGUGUGACGGGCAGAUGUUUUGCAAGGACGGCUGAAUCCCUGCAAAAGAUUUUGAGUAAAACCUGCAUAUAUUGUUCAUAAAAAAAUCGACAUUAUUUUUAAGACAUUGGCCAGACCCAUUUACUUAUUUCAUUGCUAUUAAGCCUCUCACAAGUCAAAUCAUUGGACAGUACGGCUGGAAGGAACCUCCCAAUGUCAUGUGCAAGCUCUAGGUAAUCCAGAUGUGUGAACUCCAGAUGGUUGAACUACUGAUCAAUAUGCAUCUAUUCAUUGGGCUUUGCUGCACCAUAAGCCAUAAGAGAUGAUGUAUAGAAAUAGUUGAAUGCAAAGAUAAAACUGUGUAUUUUCUUCCCUC